GCCAAUAUUGUCAAAUUCAAUGAAUUUAAGCUUCAUGUAUAAAGUAUUUUCUUUUAUUAGAA
rnacentral:tRNA from 1 species